CAGCAGCCGCGGGAAUACGUAGGUCCCGAGCGUUGUCCGGAUUUAUUGGGCGUAAAGCGAGCGCAGGCGGUUAGAUAAGUCUGAAGUUAAAGGCUGUGGCUUAACCAUAGUACGCUUUGGAAACUGUUUAACUUGAGUGCAAGAGGGGAGAGUGGAAUUCCAUGUGUAGCGGUGAAAUGCGUAGAUAUAUGGAGGAACACCGGUGGCGAAAGCGGCUCUCUGGCUUGUAACUGACGCUGAGGCUCGAAAGCGUGGGGCGCAAACAGGAUUAGAUACCCCAGUAGUCCCUGUCUCUUAUACA
rnacentral:rRNA from 1 species